UACGAAGGGGGGCUAGCGUUGUUCGGAAUUACUGGGCGUAAAGCGCACGUAGGCGGAUCGAUCAGUCAGGGGUGAAAUCCCAGGGCUCAGCCCUGGAACUGCCUUUGAUACUGUCGAUCUGGAGUAUGGAAGAGGUGAGUGGAAUUCCGAGUGUAGAGGUGAAAUUCGUAGAUAUUCGGAGGAACACCAGUGGCGAAGGCGGCUCACUGGUCCAUUACUGACGCUGAGGUGCGAAAGCGUGGGGGAGCAAACAGG
rnacentral:rRNA from 1 species